rnacentral:rRNA from 1 species
GACAGAGGGUGCAAACGUUGCUCGGAAUUACUGGGCGUAAAGCGCGUGUAGGCGGACCAUCAAGUCGGACGUGAAAGCCCUGGGCUCAACCCGGGAACUGCAUCCGAAACUGACGGUCUGGAGUAGUGGAGAGGAAAGCGAGAAUUCCUGGUGUAGAGGUGAAAUUCGUAGAUAUCAGGAGGAACACCGAUGGCGAAGGCGGCUUUCUGAACACUUACUGACGCUGAGACGCGAAAGCGUGGGGAGCAAACAGG